rnacentral:rRNA from 1 species
GUAGGUGGCAAGCGUUGUCCGGAAUUAUUGGGCGUAAAGCGCGCGCAGGCGGUUCUUUAAGUCUGAUGUGAAAGCCCACGGCUCAACCGUGGAGGGUCAUUGGAAACUGGAGAACUUGAGUACAGAAGAGGAAAGCGGAAUUCCACGUGUAGCGGUGAAAUGCGUAGAGAUGUGGAGGAACACCUGUGGCGAAGGCGGCUUUCUGGUCUGUAACUGACGCUGAGGCGCGAAAGCGUGGGGAGCAAACAGGGAUUAGAUACCCUGGUAGUCCACGCCGUAAACGAUGAGUGCUAAGUGUUAGGGGGUUUCCGCCCCCUUAGUGCUGCAGCUAACGCAUUAAGCACUCCGCCUGGGGAUACGGCCGCAAGGCUG